CUGUCCCUGCUGUAAGCAGUGCACAAAAGUGCCAUUCCUGUUCUCCACGUAUUUCACAUGGAGGUUUUCAGGAGCCAAUCACAGGCUGGAUACGGGCACUUUUUGAGUCACUUACCACCCAAAUGAGCGAUUGUUAAUGGAACCAGAUC